GCCCAAUUAUUUGCAGAGCUAGCUUACGCAGGGAUAGUCACCAUGAGAUGUGAUGUAUAGAGCUUCGGAGUUGUAGCGGUGGAGGUGUUGAUGGGAAGGCAUCCGGGAGAACUAAUCACCUCUCUACCUUCAAGAAGUCAUGGAAACAUAUUAAUACACGAUUUAUUGGAUCAUCGUCUCUCACCCCCUACAAACGAGCAAAUGAAUGAUAGCACCUCAGCAAUGAAACUGGCAGUUGAAUGCAUAAAUCCUGAUCCACAAUAUCGACCAAGCAUGCAACAGAUAUCUCAGGAGCUUUCUGCAGGAGUAUAAGCUUCUCAUAAUACAUUCCAUACAAUUGAAUCCUCUAUAGCUAGCAAACUGAAUUAGUAUACCUUUGGUGGGAUCAAUUAUUCCUUCCUUUCAGGCUUUCCUCCUUGUUCUCUGCUAGUAUAGAAUCCGGCAACCCACGUGCUUAUCCCACUUCGCCUCCCUGAAAUCCUCAACCUAAUAAGAACUUCUCGUUAUGUCUGAGAUGGGAAGCUGCCAAAAUCUAGAGUCUCGAAAUUCUUCCGUAUAUUCAAGCGUUGAUGGAGCAGAGAAUGGUAACCUAGCCACUGCUGUUGCGGACUUCGUUCCAAGCGUGCACUCCACGAGUCGCGAGACCAUUGAACUCCGAAGCCAAGUCUCGCUCUCGCGCAUUUCAUCGAACAGAUGAAGAGCUUGACUACACUACUACUUCUCGCAUAGCCCGCCGCCUUCAAAUCUUCAGAUGAGGACGGCGGUGAGGGCUGAGGAGUUCGCCGGAGAGCCGGCACGGCCACCAGAAGAUCGGGAAAGGACGCAGACCCGCUGCUCAAUUUGCUCGCCCCACAUAACGAGUUCCUCCGUUACCUCCAAAUGCGGAUGUCUUUAUUAUCUUUCCACGUGAACUCUUCCGCAUGGAGGU
rnacentral:lncRNA from 1 species